rnacentral:miRNA from 1 species
UGGCAGCACAUCCCCGGGGUGGUC